ACGCCAGCAAAAUCUGGCGUCGGGAUUGAGACCCCGGAUGUUUACGGAGCGAUAUGAGACGCGCCCGCGUCUUUUUU
rfam:Shigella dysenteriae Sd197, complete genome.